UGCUGUAACUGCUUUGUGUUGGAGCCUGUUAUAUUAACGUCACAUAUGCUUGAACAGAAGUUUGUCCUUAUCCAGAUCUACCUCCAGUCUUCCACGCAAUAGCCUCAACAAAAACUUGACUCGGAAGGAAUCUGAACCAAACGUCUACAUAGGAUAUUUGAGAUCAGAUGGAUGGCUACAUGGAAAACUCAAAGAUCAUAUAUAGUCUGAGGUUGUUCAUGUUGCUUUAAACAUUCAUGAAUGACCAUAACAAGACAAGAUCAAGCCUCAAUGAAUUAUACAUUUUGCAGAUUUGCAAAAAGAGGAAAACCAUCCUACAUACUUUGAAUAGACAAUGUGGUUCUUGAAACUUACAGUUAUGGCAAAGUGGAGAAUCACCCAUAUGACACCUAAUGAUGUCACCAAGAGAUCAUAACGAUUUCUUCUACUCUGCCAAAAUCCAGCAGGUGACAUGGCAGUAAUUUUCAUUGUAACCUUGCAAAAAUAAAUGUGUAUGUAAGAG